rnacentral:rRNA from 1 species
UACGAAGGGGGCUAGCGUUGCUCGGAAUUAUUGGGCGUAAAGGGCGCGUAGGCGGCCAUGCGUGUCUUCCGUGAAAUCCCUCGGCUUAACUGAGGACGUGCGGAAGAAACUGCAAGGCUCGAGUCCGGGAGAGGGGGGUGGAAUUCCCAGUGUAGCGGUGAAAUGCGUAGAUAUUGGGAGGAACACCGGUGGCGAAGGCGGCCCCCUGGACCGGAACUGACGCUGAGGCGCGAAAGCGUGGGUAGCAAACGGG